GCCAGGUGUGGUGGUGCAUGCCUGUAGUUCCAGCUACUUGGGAGGCUAAGGUAGGGGGAUUGCUUGAGCCCAGGAGAUCAAGGCUGCAGUGAGCCGAGAUUGUGCCACUGCACUCUAGUCUGGGUAACAGAGCAAGACCCUGUCUCAA
rnacentral:SRP_RNA from 1 species